AUUAACGUACAGCGAUGGAACGUCCUACGCUGACCAUUUUAGCAGUUAUGCUUGUGUUGGGCCUUGCAAGAUGCGAAGACUACUCUCGUUUCCUUGUCGACAUCGUUGAACCAACAGGAGUCGCUGAUGUAAAGACCACCAUGGCCACUGUUAAAAGCAUCUUGCAAGAAACAGCCGGUGUUGAUUUCAUCUUCAAGGUGUUUGGUGAACCAAGAGUAUUAGCAAUUCUGCAUAU